UGAAGGUGUUGCACCCGAAAGUAAAGGCACAGAGGCAGUGGCUUGUGGGAAAGAGGGCGGCAGAGUAACACCCACCUUUGGCUCCAGAUUGUCCCAGCGUCCCACGGGACAGGGAAGGGAACUGGCUGUAGUGGAGCCAGUCCAGCUGCUGGCAAUGGGAAGCCUGUUGGGAUUCCUACUGGGGAGCCGACCCUGGAGCCUGCUGGGGGCCCCAUCCCCCGUAUCAGCCUCUGGCUUGUAGGGAAGAGUGGGCUCUGCUGGACCCCCGUCAAAGAGCC